GUGCUUGCAGGUGCAGCACCAUCAAGAUUCACAUGGUCCAACUCAUGCAUCUUCAGUGAUGCUCAUGUGAUGGCUCGCAGUUGCUAUAUAUGCAUAUGUGAUGAGAUGAGAAUCUUGAUGAUGCUGCAUCAGCAGACAC
rfam:Sorghum bicolor cultivar BTx623 chromosome 4, whole genome shotgun sequence.